GACGAACGCUGGCGGCGUGCCUAAUACAUGCAAGUCGAGCGAAGCGGCGGAUUGGUGAGUAACGCGUGGGUAACCUGCCCGUAAGUCUGGGAUACCAUUUGGAAACAGAUGCUACUACCAGAUAAUAAAGGAUGGAGCUGAGAUGCAUUAGCUAGUGGGUAGGGUAAAGGCUUACCAAGGCGAUGAUGCAUAGCCGAGUUGAGAGGCUGACCGGCCACAUUGGGACUGAGACACGGCUCAAACUCCUACGGGAGGCAGCAGUGGGGAAUCUUCCACAAUGGACGAAAGUCUGAUGGAGCAACGCCGCGUGAGUGAAGAAGGUUUUCGGAUCGUAAAGCUCUGUUGUUGGGGAAGCGGUAAUCAACCAGAAAGUCACGGCUAACUACGUGCCAGCCGCCGCGGUAAUUC
rnacentral:rRNA from 1 species